GUUUUUUUUUACCUAGUUUUUAUUUCCGCAGACCUUGUGUUCUAGACUUUUUGUAAUCCGGAUUUCUCUUUAUCUAUUCAGUAUUCAAUAUUCAGUUUCUGUUCUUGAUUUUCGUUUACUGUUAUUCAUUCUGUUAUCAUACUGCUGUUAUCAUGUCUUCAACCUGUUCAACGUUUAUGCUUUCUGUCAUGAUGUCUGAGUAGUGAAUAGGUUUCUGAGGAUGGGUUAGAGUAGUGUAGAAUUCUCAGUAUGCUAGGUGAUUGAGUAUUGAUUGAUAGAUCCCUUCUGGAUUAGUUGUUCUUAAUGCCUAUUGCUUUCUGAUCAACUGGAAUUUGAGCCCAGACAUUUCCGCGCCCAAAAGGUGUUCGAUGAAAUGCCUGAACCACUAAUUCCAGAGAUUCGUGACCCUGUACCAAGGUAUUGGUUGCAGGGAGCGUUUUGGCUUUAACUUGUUGAUUCGUAAUGCCUGUUAGGUUAGCUCUCGUCAAUGGUGAUUGAGUCUGGGACUAGGUUAGCUUGAGAGUGUCUGUUGCGGUGGCACUUAGAUUUGGUUAACGAACUUGUUGUCUAGGGUUAAUUUGUUGAGCAUGUCAAUCACCUGUAAACUGAGGAAACGAAACUACUCAAUUACCCCAUCCUUAGGAAUUCUUUGUCUGAUUGAUUUUAUUGUUUACUCUACUGCUGUUUACUGCAUUCUGUCACCUGUUGCUUAGUUUCUACAAUUCUUUACUGUUACUCGACCUGAUACUCGACCACCCAGUUGUCUGGCAACAGACUGUGCAGUCGAGUAUCUUUGUUUCAUUUUCUGUCUGUUACUCGACCUGUCACUCGACCUCACCCAGGGCUCUGCAAAGAGCUGUGUUGGUCGAGUGUUUUACUGUUUCUGUUUGAUUUUCUUUUUCCUGCUUGUUCACUUAGGAUUGCUAGAACACACCAAAACCUGUUAUUGCUUGGCUUGACUUAGUGACUUCUGAUCACAUCUUGAUUGUUAGCAUCACACCCAUUUGGAUUGACAACCUAAAAUACUACAACGACAUGAUUGGUGUUUUAGGAUAAUUGA
rnacentral:sRNA from 1 species